UAGACUCAUCAAGUGCUUAGGCCAGGAAACUUACAGAAGGGAAGGAGUAGUUCUAAAUGCUGGGAUCUGGAAAAGUACUUUGGAAUUGGUGCCAUCUGAGGUGAAGCUGGAAGGAAGGAAAUCAUUGGGACAAGUGGAAAAUCCAUUGGAAUACACAUAUAUAUAGUAAACAGAACAAGCUCCUUUUCAAAAAGCAGUCCCUCAGUGAGCUCAUCUGCUCUCAGGAAUUCAUCCAUUGCUGCUGUGCGGAUGCUUCAAAGUCUAACCACAUGAACCAUCAGUUACCAGCCAUCUACUACCUGAUGAAAGGGAGCAAAAGCGAACACAGGGUGAUUGCUCUUAUGUGUGUCUUCAGAACAAUAAGUUCAAAGAUAAAAAUUUUAUCUUUCUGACCAACAAGAUGGGCUGAACAUCCCAAAGCCUCAUUCUGUCAGUAGAGACAAGAUUUAAAUGGAGGUAACACCCACUAAAGAGCCAUAUACUGAAAAUGGACAAGGGCUAGAAAAAAUAAAAAACAAAAAACCUGCCUUCCUGGUGAUACAUUGCAUCACUCUUGGCACCAAACAUUUUAGGAAUACUUAGUUAUCUUCUAUUGUUUUACAUUUGUAUGUCCGUGAUUUGACAAAUAUUUAUUGAACACUUACUCUGGGCCAGGUAGUAGUCUAGAUGCAGGCAGGCAGCAGUGAAUGUGAAAGACCUUAGAGAGCUUUACGAAUUUAGAGAGAAAAUGCUAACAAUAAACACAAAAAAUAUAAGAUAAAUUAGAGCUAUAUAGGAAGUUAAAAAUAGACUAACGUGAUAGAGCAAUGGGUGGAGGCUGCUCUAGUAAAGGUCGUUGGAGAAUGCCUCUCUUAGGGGAUACUAUUUGAACGGACACCUGAGUAAUGAAGACGCAGAGAUGCAAAGAUUUAGGAAAAGUAUGUUUCAACCCAAAGUGAGAACAUAAGGCUCUGAGAGGUGGGCAAGCUUAGCAUGUCUGAAGAAUGAAAUAAAAGCCAGCGUGUCUGGACAGAGGUGAAUGAGAGGAAAAGCCAGAGAUGAGGCAGCAGAACAAGGCAGAUCUCAGCUCCUGUGGAAUCUGUAGGCUGGGGUUUCUCAUCCUCGGCACUAGUGACAUCUCAUUCUCUGUUGCGGGGGGAUAUUCUGUGCAGUAUAAGAUGUUCAGCAGCAUUCCUGGACUCUACUCACUAGAGGCCAGUAGGUUCUCCCUAGUAGUGACAAGCAAAAUUGUCUUCAGAAGACAUUGCCAAGUGUCCCUGGAGGGGUGGGGGGGGGGCGGUAAAAUAGCCCCCAGUUGAGAACCAC
rnacentral:lncRNA from 1 species